AAUGAUGUUUUAAAUUAUUUUUAAUUGCAGUAAAAUAUACAUAAAAUUUACCAUCUUAGCCAUUUUAAGUGUAAAGGGCAGUAGUGUUAAGUGCGUUCACAUGGUUGCCACUCCAGAGUUUUUAUUUGUGGUUUUUUCAUGUACAGAACCUGAGGCACACGGAUCCAGGGAAUCUCAAAGGAAAAGCAGAGACCUGGAGAAAGAUUUUGCUCAGAGAAAUACAGGAAGAAUUCCAAGGCGGUUCAGCCACCAUCUGCCAAAGGACUGCCUCCAGUCCACUCAAAUGCUUGGACAGAGUGGGCUGCUCUCAUUUCCCAGGACUCAGGUCAGCAAACCAUUGGUGAUUCGGUCAUGAUGCAGUGCAGGCAUGGCUGCUUUGGAAGGAGCUUAUGUGUUGCUGAGCACUUGGGGUUCGAAUCCAGACUGCACCAUCGACCUGACAAGGUGACCGUAGGCAAGUUAUUGAACCUGCCUGAGCUUCCAUCUCAGUGAGUCAAGAUGCCAAGCAUGCGGCCUCAGGGCUGAGGGCCAGGAGCAGCCGCCCAGCAGGGCUGUCGGGGACUGGCCUCCUCCUCUCAUCAUCAAAGGGGAAGCUUGCCCUGGGGCUCUUUCUAACACCUCCUCCCCCAGCCUGCAGCCAAGUCUGGCUGCAUCCUCGCUUCAGCCUGUAAACAAAGAGCUCAGGUAUUUAUGCCCUCAGGCCCCUCUCUGGCCUUCUCCUCUCCUCCCAGAGGGAUGGGGGACCCAGACUGCUCCCCUCCCCUCUGGAACCGAGGGCUCUAGGGUGUCUACAGCUUCUGCCACCUCUGAGAAGGGAAGUCCUGGGAAGGCCGGCCUCUC